GGAGAGGCUGCAAAACUGUGCAGAUUAAAGUGGACUGAAGACACAGGAUGAUUACGUAAAGGACAGGAUCCUGGAUUGCGGAAAAUGCCAUAAAGAACAUGACUGUCCCUGAAUGACCAUAUUCUGGGUGUUUCCAUGUUGAAUCAAGGAUACCAGCUACAAUACUUGUACAUGACCAGGACAUCCCCGAUGGCUGCCCAUCCAAGAAGGUUCCAGACUGGAGAGCACUCUCAGAUCAGGAGCUCCUGGGAAGAAGCCAGGGGACCUCUCUGAGAUGACACCAUCCUUUUUUGGGAUGGUUGGCUGCCUUCCCCUGAUACUCAGUGCUCCAGAGUCACCCCAUCUUCAGCCCCAACUCAAUAAAGUUUUACUCAUCUCAACUGUUAGCAUGACACUCAAGUCUCACUCAACUGCAUGUUUAUGCAAAGAUAAUUGGACUGCUGAGGUUAUGGAAAGAGUGAGCACACUUGCUCUGACUCUCCUGCCUGACACCAUUAUGUGCUUCCAACGCCUCAGAAGGUAUUCGCCCCUUUGUUUACAUAUUGUAUU